CUGAACUGGUGAAUACAUUAUGCCCUAAGGCUCUCUCUUGACUCUUUUGACUGUUCACCUGGCCCCACAAGUCCUGUGAACAAGGAGUAACUGAAACCACAGAAAGCAAAACCUCAGAUGAGGGGUACUACUGUCUGUGAAAAUAGAGGACAAGAUUUCCAUCCACAAUGUCUUUGCCAGCACUGAAGUGAUGUUUAAUGAAACACUGCUGGGCUGGAGAUUUAUAAAGAGCAGAUGGCAGCAGGAUUCUCAAGGAGCUUUUGAAAUGCAGUUGAAGAGGAU